rnacentral:rRNA from 1 species
UCUUGCUGUCACUUAUAGAUGGAUCCGCGCUGCAUUAGCUAGUUGGUAAGGUAACGGCUUACCAAGGCAACGAUGCAUAGCCGACCUGAGAGGGUGAUCGGCCACACUGGAACUGAGACACGGUCCAGACUCCUACGGGAGGCAGCAGUAGGGAAUCUUCCGCAAUGGGCGAAAGCCUGACGGAGCAACGCCGCGUGAGUGAUGAAGGUCUUCGGAUCGUAAAACUCUGUUAUUAGGGAAGAACAUAUGUGUAAGUAACUGUGCACAUCUUGACGGUACCUAAUCAGAAAGCCACGGCUAACUACGUGCCAGCAGCCGCGGUAAUACGUAGGUGGCAAGCGUUAUCCGGAAUUAUUGGGCGUAAAGCGCGCGUAGGCGGUUUUUUAAGUCUGAUGUGAAAGCCCACGGCUCAACCGUGGAGGGUCAUUGGAAACUGGAAAACUUGAGUGCAGAAGAGGAAAGUGGAAUUCCAUGUGUAGCGGUGAAAUGCGCAGAGAUAUGGAGGAACACCAGUGGCGAAGGCGACUUUCUGGUCUGUAACUGACGCUGAUGUGCGAAAGCGUGGGGAUCAAACAGGAUUAGAUACCCUGGUAGUCCACGCCGUAAACGAUGAGUGCUAAGUGUUAGGGGGUUUCCGCCCCUUAGUGCUGCAGCUAACGC